AUUUUUUUAAAAAAGCAGCACGUAUACUAAAAAUAUUACAGAGGAGAUUAGCAUAGCCCUGUGCAAGGAUGACAUACUGAUGCGUGAAUCAUUCUACAGUUUU